CAGGGCGGCGGGGAGAGGGAGCGGCCGUCUCCUCUCACUCUCCCGGCCCUAGGGGGCGGGACUGCACCCCUAACCUUCCCCCAGCCUCCACCCUGGGGCCUGGCUUCCCUACCCCUCUUCCGUCCGCCCAACCCCGUGGCACAGAGCCCACUCUUCUCCAGUAGUGACUAACUGCCACGCGUGGACUCCUUGCCUUGCCUCGGAUCUCCUGGUUUCCAAACUGAGUGAAAAGCUUUCGGUUUUGUUUUGUACCCAGCAGAAGAAGGAAGAAUGGAUAUGCACACAAAUCAGGGGCCCAAGGGAAUGCUCAAGCGCAUUUUUCCCCGCCGGCUCCCAUUGCUGUGGGUUGCGUCUGGAGGCUGGACAUCGAGACUGAGCAGAGAGCACUGCUAUCCAGUGUGAAGCCCAGACCAGAGACAUAACCAACUUUUCACCCCUUUCCUGGACACCUCAAACUUACCACCUGGAGGUUAGCAGGCCAAAGGCUUGCCUUUGAGCUAAUCUGAAGGCGAAAGCUGUCUCUUUUUCACCUAUUUUAUAUCUGUGUAUGUCUUGUUAAACUCUGUGAUCAUAAAAACUUUCUGAACUUGGAUUCAUUCUCCUAGUCUUCCCAAUCAGAGUACGAACUAGGCAAAGUAAUAUUGCCCCACCCUGACACUCCAUUUUUACCCCAAAAGAAAGUAUAGUUAGUUUACAUUAAACCAAUAGGUUUUGAACAGUUUCAGAGACAAGAAGGGUUCAUCGCCUUCUCCCUACCUUUUGAGUGUAGAGGUGGACUCCUCGCCACUGAGUGUGGAAUACACCCUGUGCAACCACUGGGGUGGUCUCUACUUUGCAAUUACGGGGGACAUAUGAAGGAGAAAACUUUUCAGGAGGAAUAGACAAAGGGAUCUUACAAAGAGUUUUGCAUUGAGGGGCAGUGGAAUUCUGAGUGACUGAGGAGGUGUGAGGCUAGAGAGGGGGGACUUGGAUUUGAGUAGGGGGCAGGCUGGUGUCUGCAGUCAAUGCUCUACCACUGAGCUACACCCCUCUGCUGGUGCGUGUUGGGUAAACUAUUUUUACACCAAUUCUACAUUUUUUUGUACUGAAAAUUUUGUUCAAAAUUAGUUACUUCUUCCUAGAUAAUAUUAAAUUUACUAAUGAUGAGAAACAAAAUUGAAAGACCAACUGAA